rnacentral:lncRNA from 1 species
CCUGAAUUAGAUGUGAUAUUUUAGAGAACCUGUUAUUUUUACUGAUUUGUAAUAAAAAUUAUUAAAUCAUAAUUGAUUAAAGACAUGAUGGUAAAACUAAUCUUAGGGUGAAUAACAUAAGCUUGAGAAAUAAAUUGUUUAUGUAGAUAUGACAAUAUCAUGGUAUGCUCAACCCAAAUAUACAAACUAGAAUAGGAAUAAUUAAAUUUUUAUUUAAAAAAUUGUUAUUUUAUGGCUGCACCAACUGCAUAUGAAAGUUCUCAAGCCAGGGAUUGAAUAUGAGCCACAGCUGAGACCUACACCACAGCUGCCGCCAUGCUGAUCUGCACCGGGCUAGGGAUCAAACCUGCACUUCUGCAGCAACCUGAGCCACUGUGGUCUGAACCUUAACCCACUGCACCACAGAGGGAUUCCCACAGAAUAGGAAUUCUUAAACUUUUAACUCCUGGGGAAGCAGUUUACCACUAGACAAUCAUGUAACGAUUACUGUCAUGCCUUGCCAUGAAGACAUCUAUAGAGAUGCAAAGUAAAUGCAAAUUAUUUGGUUUCUGAUGGAUGGUAGAAUAGAAAAGAAGCCAGAAAGUACAGGAAGGUGACAUAGUAAACUGUAAAAAUAUAGCGCUUGCAACCAGUUGAUCUAAAAGCUUGCUGUUUCUUGGAUGGCAGAUGAAACAGAGCAUUAAAACAAGGAUUUUUUUCCCCCAAAGGAUUAAAUUUAAAAAACAAACACAAAUGGUAACUGGAGGAGGGAAAACAAGAGGAAGCAAAAUGAGCGGAGUCAAAAUCCUGGGGGAAGAUUUUUCAUUUUGAUUUCUGUGAAUUCUGUUUAUGUUAACAUAUCAUACUCCUUGAGGGUUAAGUUUAAGCUUUUCUCUGAGAACAUUAUAAAUUACCUUAAAGUCAGCCCCUUUAGGAAAGAACUGAAUUUGUGACUGAGCUUUUUGUUUAAUUAUCACACCCUUUAUAUAAUUUUCAUCUACUUCAGUCUCAUUUUCAUACGUUUAGUGACACUUAUUUCCAAUCAGUGGUCAGAAUGUCACAGGAUGCUAGGGAGUGUACAGAUUUCCGGGUGCCACCUCCAGAUAUUCUGCUCCAGAAUAUCCCACCUUUUGGGUGGGACCCAGCCAGAUGCAAGGACUUCACAUCACCUUUUGAAAGCACUAACAUAGAAACUUAUGAACCAGGAAGGAAAUGGCUCUUUGAGUCAGAGAAUGCCAUUGAGUUUUAUGAACUCUGACCCUAUCAAAUAUACAUUUUAAAAUUUAAAUUCUUGUCCAUGGUGAUGUAUUGGAAAUAUGACAUAUUACAUGUUGGUGAAAAAAGAAUCAUAAAAUUGCUGUGAGUAGACAACUUGGCUGCUGCUAAUCAAACUUUUUAGGACAUCAAGCUGAAAGAAUGACCUAAUUCAGCUCUUUGAUUUAUAGAUGAGCCCUAUGAGGUUCAGGGAGUUGAAGUAACUUCCACAGUGUCAUGUAGUUUGCUAGUGACCGUGCAAGAUUAUUUUGCUCCUUCCAUUUGUGAUGUCACAUUUCUCUUAAAAGUCUCUGAAAAUGAUCCAGUAUUAUAAAAAGACUGAGGCUAAGCCAAGAAUCCCAUUAGCCGAUACCUUUGGCUUAUACAGAAAAAUAAGAUUAGAGAUUUAGAUAAACAUAUAUACAAACAGUCAACAAAGCAAUUCCAUGGUUACAACUAUAUACGUCUUGUCCUUCCUCUAAAUAAAUGUCAUGAACCAGGGGAUGGAGUAAUGAUAUUACGUUGUUGCAGACAUGAAAGUUGAAAACAAAAUUAUGAGGCCCUAGCAUACGCUAAAUUGGUUUUACCUUCUGAAGGAUAUUAAAUUUUACUUGAAUUUUUCAAAACUGCCCUCUCCCCUCAAAGCUCUCUGAGAAUAAGUAGUGUAUUUGAUCUGCCUUCCCUAUCAAAUAAAUCAGGAUUUUUUUGGGGGGGGUGGGGGUGGGGAGGGAGGACUGCAAAUAAUCCAACACUGACUGUGACACUGUUUAAGACAAAUAGAGAUUUUUCUGUUCACAAUUCCCUCUUUCUGGAGAUGGGGCCUGGUUGGUAUUCAUUUAGUCACUCAGAAAUAUCAAGCCUCAGGGCCAGUAUCUCUGUGAUUCUCUCCUUUCUCUCACAGUCUUACACUUGGGGUAUUGCAUUGGCAUUCAAAAUAGGGGUGAAGGGAUGGGCAAGAGUGGAUGUGGCGAGAGUAUCUGCCACGGCCUGGGUACUUGAAGGACCUCCUUUAGUUCAGCAUUGCCUGAGUACCGACUGGUUCCUCUUCUUUCUCUUCUAACCAUCACCCUUCUAGACUCCGCUGCUUUGCCUCCUACAUACACAUCACGCAGAGGGAACAUACACCCCACAGUCAGUUGGAAUCUGGGUUUCAGAAGAGUCCUUUGAUUGACAGGCCUGUAGGAAUAUGCACAGGUGCUUCUAGGACCAUAGGAAGUCUUGUUGAAUAAGCUUUCUCUGUGGAUGACCAGCCCAUCCUCUCUGCUUCUUUAAAAGAAUGAUUGAAUCUAAACAUGACACACUGAUGUUCAGGAAAAAAAAACGAGAGAGGGAACUCAGUAUCUUGAAAGCAUAUCCUAAGGCUUUUCUUCAGGUAACCUUUAUAUUGAACCAUAAAAAGAUUAAAGACACCUUCUGCUGGACUCAGGCCCUGUCAUUCAUGUUGAGAUUGUUUGGGGAAAAGAGGUGCUGACACCCUUACUAAGAGGAGUCAAGGUCUUCCAAGCAGGAAACUGGUUUGAUGACAAUAUGCUGAGUUGUCAGUUUAGCUGGUGGCUGCUGUCGGCCUCAGCAACUGGCUCUCUUUUGACUUCUGACUUUUGUGUGUGUGUCGGGGAAAUCUUAUGAGUCACAGUUAGCCUUUGCAGCCUGAUUAAGCUUGUAGGAGCCUCUGGAUUGGUGCAUAAAAUGGAUUUUGCCAACAGUUGUCUUCAGCAUCCCCACAGGAGAAAGGCGAGUUGGUUCCGAAAUGGAAACUCUAGACAAACAACUGAAGGGAAGGACACCUCUGUGUGUAAAUGCUUCCAGAUGCAGAGAGAUUUUCAUCUCAUUCUCGGCAGUUUUCCUUUUCAAGGGUUAGUGAGAAGGAAGCAUUGGAGCAAACCGCCUUGGAAUCCUUCACCCCGGUUUCCCAUCCAAGUGAUGCCAACUGACAGUGGCAAGGGGAAAACCGUGUCUAAAAAAAUAAAUCUUAAUCAACUCCCUGUAGCCUAUCAACACAUGCUUUUCGGAAGAAGAAAAAGAAGAAACGUCUGAGGAGAACAAGGCCGAGUUGGUGGAACAUCUUGAAGGGGGCUGGUCUCCUCUUAGAAAAUUAAAACGACGUGCAAGUAGCUCGGAAGAGCCUGUGGUUGCUAAGUAAAAGAACAUCAAGGAGCAACUUCAAGAUACACGUUUAAAACAAGUGUCCAAUGAUUUGGAACAUAAGUUUGUUUGGAUUGGUUUCACCCUUUGAAAGGGUUCUGAACAGAGUUAUAAAUUUUGUUUUUUAACUAAUUGGGCCAAUAACCAAAAAGAAUGCCAUUUGGCUUAUAAAAUACUCUUUGCUCCCACCCAGCAAGUCCUCCUCUUCUUGCUUCCUACCAGUCAUCCUCCCCUUCUUCUCCAGCUUCCUGUACAAAAGGUAGAGUAUGACAUCUGCCUGAAGCAAAAAUGCAAGCAUUUCAACCCAAUAAGUAAAGAAAAAGGAACAAAAGUCUGGGUAUACCAUGUUGCUCUUAUUCUCCCUGGCUGACUCCCAUUACCCCUUUCUUGUUAUUGUCAUCAUGUCUUUUAAGCAUCAGGCCCAUGGGCUCUGCUCCCGCGUGAUUUAGAAUCUGCUGAUAGUGGCUGGAAUAAAGCACAGAGAAUCUUUUAAACUGAAGGUCUAAGCUCACUGCAUUUGACCACCGUAUUCUUGGGCUUAGAUGUUUACUCAGUAAAUGAUGCUCUUCAGUGGUGGCGCCUGGGCCAUUGCCCAGCCAUGUGGAGCAGGGCGAGUGAAUGUGACUUCCCCCUUUGGAGGAGGUGUCUGCAAAUCAGAACAAAUGGGACCCUGGUGAGAAUGUUCACCUCCCAGCUCCUCUGUGCCAGGGCGGUGGAUAACAACAGGAUGUGGGUUUGAAACACGUGUAAGCUUCUUCAAGCUGCCUCUUUCAGUUUCAUUCUUUUUUUUUUUUUUUUUUAAGGCACUAGAAAAUAUAAUUCACCUAUUUAAAGCAAACAUUUUUUUCCCUUGCUACCUAUAUGUGUUGUGUCAUAGUUUUAUCCCAUAUCAGGACCUGAUUCCAUUCCCAUUUCUACAAGCCACUCAGGUAACAAUCUGUAUGUUAUGCAAAUAAAAACAUGGCAUGUUUACAGCACAGGCAGAUUAUGAUGUACACUCAAGAAGUUUCACUUUCUGUAAAUGUGGGACUAGAUUGUAUUCAUCAUCUGCUAAGGGAGUUCUACUGCUAUACCUCUGGUCUUGGUUGAUGGUUUUAAUAAACAGGACCAAAAGAUGUCCAAAGCCACAAGCAUAUGGUUGUAAAAAUUGAAGACAUUUAACUCCGAAUUAAUUUCUUUUAAAAGAAGUUGUGAGAUUUGAGCAAGCCAUAACAUUAGGAUCAAGUACGCACAUCCAUAUGCACUUUUAUCAGACUGGAAAAAAUCAGAGACUGGAGAAAAUGAGAAGGUAUUGACUCCAUUCUUUGUAUUUUCUGUUGUGAUUCCAGUCCUCACCUUCCCUUCAGUCUCCCCUUUGCUCCUCAUCUCCAUCCAUUCUUUCUUUUCUGUUAUUAGCUGUCUUUCCUGUCCCAUCUGUCUUUCCAUUUCUUUUUACCUUGCAUUCUCCUUUUCCCAUCACCCUUAGGAUACCGAGUUAAGAGAGAAUACAGAGGAUGGUCAGGAGUGGUGAGCAGAGAAAUUUUCUAGAGUUUUUUUUUUUUUUUAUCUCAAGUUUUGAGUUGUCUUUGCACUUGAAGUAGGCACAUGGUAGCCACUUCUGGUCCUAUUAUCUUGAAAAUUCGAAGUCUCUUUUCUGGUUUUUCUGUCUAAUGAAGACUUGGUUGGCUUGUGGGCUCUGUAAUUAUGCUCACUGAACAAAUACCUUGAAAGGGAAACAAUUCCAAGUCAUGUAUCAAAGAUUCAAUCUGACAUGUAUUUACUAAAUGCCUGACAUGCCUAUGCAUUUUGUUUCUUCAUUGUAACAAGAGAGAAUGAAUUCAUAUUCUGUGCUGGCACUGUGCUCUGUGUGGAAAAUGCAAAAUGAAAUAAAUCACAAAAUUCUUAACUUCAAGAAUUUAUAGGGUAAUGGAGGAGAAAAGAGUAUAAAAAGAUUAGUUUCAGGGUGACAGGAGAGUGAUCUAAUAACACAAAAUUGUAACUUUAAAAAGACAAUGCAAACCAGUUACCUCUUGCUUAAUGGAGUAGAUGGGCUACAGGAAAUUUGGCAAUAAGACAAGUUUAUAUAAAUUGAAAUAUUUUCCUACAACUCCUCUAUAGAAUUGGAAAUGUUUUCCCGCAGAAAAUCUCGAUGCAAAACUCGAGAUCACAGUAAAUACUAUAUUGUGCCUAUAUCUG